GGCAGGCCUAACACAUGCAAGUCGAGCGGAACGACACUAACAAUCCUUCGGGUGCGUUAAUGGGCGUCGAGCGGCGGACGGGUGAGUAAUGCCUAGGAAAUUGCCUUGAUGUGGGGGAUAACCAUUGGAAACGAUGGCUAAUACCGCAUAAUGCCUACGGGCCAAAGAGGGGGACCUUCGGGCCUCUCGCGUCAAGAUAUGCCUAGGUGGGAUUAGCUAGUUGGUGAGGUAAUGGCUCACCAAGGCGACGAUCCCUAGCUGGUCUGAGAGGAUGAUCAGCCACACUGGAACUGAGACACGGUCCAGACUCCUACGGGAGGCAGCAGUGGGGAAUAUUGCACAAUGGGCGAAAGCCUGAUGCAGCCAUGCCGCGUGUAUGAAGAAGGCCUUCGGGUUGUAAAGUACUUUCAGUUGUGAGGAAGGGGGUAGCGUUAAUAGCGCUAUCUCUUGACGUUAGCAACAGAAGAAGCACCGGCUAACUCCGUGCCAGCAGCCGCGGUAAUACGGAGGGUGCGAGCGUUAAUCGGAAUUACUGGGCGUAAAGCGCAUGCAGGUGGUUCAUUAAGUCAGAUGUGAAAGCCCGGGGCUCAACCUCGGAACUGCAUUUGAAACUGGUGAACUAGAGUACUGUAGAGGGGGGUAGAAUUUCAGGUGUAGCGGUGAAAUGCGUAGAGAUCUGAAGGAAUACCAGUGGCGAAGGCGGCCCCCUGGACAGAUACUGACACUCAGAUGCGAAAGCGUGGGGAGCAAACAG
rnacentral:rRNA from 1 species